GAAAUGAUAAAAAAACUUUUUUUUUCUGGUGUUUUUUUUUUUUUAAAUCUGGUGUGUCAAAAUACCUACGCGUGUUUUUAGUAACGUCUUGUAGAAUAAAAAUGGAACGGGCCAAACAAUCGAAUUUCGUGAAGUUUUCGUAUCAAGUCUGGUUUUGUGUAAAUCUUCGGAUAAUUUACACCCGACUAUCGACAUCUGAUACGAUAUAGGAAAACAUAUCUCUCUCUCUGUAUGGUCACCAAACUGUAACGAAUUUAUGGAAAACAUAUGUUUUAAAUUUCAAAACUUAUAAAUUUGCUUUACUUAUUUUUGAUUAAAAGAUAAUUCGAUAUUGCAAACAUCCGUUCACUUUUGGUAUGUUAUGAACGGAAACAUCCUUCCCGUUUUCACAUGUACAGGUUGAGUUUAGGAUUUCCCGUAUUUUGGGCACUUCGCAGAAGCUUUUCUCUGGUAGGAAGCCAAAAUUUAAGUAAAAUGCAGACCGUUCGGAUCUUCUUUUAACGCUGCGUCACUGUCUGAUGAUAAAUAAUGUCAGUCGAUUUCAUAUCACAGUAUUUCUUCUAGAAAUCCUUUCUCUUUUCUUUUUCUAUAAAUUCGUAAUGAUCAAUAUUGAAGGCAUUGUUAGAUUUAUAUUAUCCAAGGCAUUUUUCGGUUUUUAUAUGAUGAUAAACUUUCCUAUUUUCGACUUUUAUGACCCACCAUCUUCUCCGUCCUCCAUUUUUAUAUACGACGAUGAUCCUUUCCCCUCCAUCCCGAUUUUAAGCGAGGAUGAUCGUCGUCGUAUGAAAGUCGACGAAAUAUAGAAUUGUAUAGGAUCCAUACCGCAAUUUUUACUAGGAUAAUAUCCGAUCCUGUCGUCGUUCUAGCGUAUCCAUAAUUCAAACGACACGUUUUCCAACCAUAGUCUGUAUAAAAAGGACAAAACGUUAUAUGGGAU
rnacentral:lncRNA from 1 species